CGAGGGUGCAAGCGUUAAUCGGAAUUACUGGGCGUAAAGCGAGUGUAGGCGGCUACCUAAGUCGGAUGUGAAAGCCCCGGGCUCAACCUGGGAAUUGCAUUCGAUACUGAGUAGCUAGAGUUUGGUAGAGGUAAGUGGAAUUCCAGGUGUAGCGGUGAAAUGCGUAGAUAUCUGGAGGAACAUCAGUGGCGAAGGCGGCUUACUGGACCAAAACUGACGCUGAGGCUCGAAAGCGUGGGGAGCAAACAGGAUUAGAUACCCGCGUAGUCC
rnacentral:rRNA from 1 species